rnacentral:tRNA from 1 species
UGGUUUCCAUAGUUGAAGUACAACGGUGGCUUUUCGAGUCACAGGUUUUGGAUAAAGGCCAAGUGGAAA